CAUUUAAAGAGUGCGUAACAGCUCACUAGUCGAGCGUUCCUGCGCGGAAAAUAAUCGGGCAUCAAGUUAAUCACCGAAGCUAUGGAUUGAUAUUUAUAUCAAUGGUAGGGGAGCAUUCCAGUGUUACAGAAGGUGUACUGUGAGGUAUGCUGGAGAUACUGGAAAAGCAAAUGUAGGCAUGAGUAACGAUAAAUGAGGUGAGAUACCUCAUCGCCGUAAGACUAAGGUUUCCUAGUUCGAUGUUAAUCAGAACAGGGUUAGUCGGGUCCUAAGGUGUAGCCGACAGGCGAAGCCGAUGGCAAACGGGUUAAUAUUCCCGUACCUGCUAUACAAUAAAAGCGACGGAGUAGUGUAGGUAGUGCGUACUGACGGAAUAGUACGUUGAACCAACCGCAAGGUUGGGAUAGUACACAGAGUCCCUAGGACAAAGUGAUAAUCUACUGAAGCGACUUCCUAGAAAUAGCGAGUAUAGCAGCCCGUACCGUAAACCGACACAGGUAGUCGAGGAGAGUAUCCUAAGGCGCUCGAGUGAUCCAUGGCUAAGGAACUAGGCAAAUUAGUCUCGUAACUUCGGGAGAAGAGACGCCGU
rnacentral:rRNA from 1 species